GUGUCAGCCGCCGCGGUAAUACGGAGGGUGCAAGCGUUAUCCGGAUUUAUUGGGCGUAAAGAGCUCGUAGGCGGUUUGUCGCGUCUGCCGUGAAAGUCCGAGGCUCAACCUCGGAUCUGCGGUGGGUACGGGCAGACUAGAGUGAUGUAGGGGAGACUGGAAUUCCUGGUGUAGCGGUGAAAUGCGCAGAUAUCAGGAGGAACACCGAUGGCGAAGGCAGGUCUCUGGGCAUUUACUGACGCUGAGGAGCGAAAGCAUGGGGAGCGAACAGGAUUAGAUACCCCUGUAGUCCAUUAGAUACCCUCGUAGUCC
rnacentral:rRNA from 1 species